CAGUCGCCACGGUAAUACGUAGGUGGCAAGCGUUGUCCGGAAUUACUGGGCGUAAAGGGCUCGCAGGCGGUUUCUUAAGUCUGAUGUGAAAGCCCCCGGCUCAACCGGGGAGGGUUACUGGAAACUGGGAAACUUGAGUGCAGAAGAGGAGAGUGGAAUUCCACGUGUAGCGGUGAAAUGCGUAGAGAUGUGGAGGAACACCAGUGGCGAAGGCGACUCUCUGGUCUGUAACUGACGCUGAGGAGCGAAAGCGUGGGGAGCGAGCAGGAUUAGAUACCCCUGUAGUCCCUGUCUCUUAUAC
rnacentral:rRNA from 1 species